CCGUGCUAGACGGGGAGCUAGCGGUUCCUUGUGACCUGAAAUCCGCUUAUGCAGGGUCAAUCGCUUUUUUGAGGUCUUUCGGACCCCCGGUCGCAUUCCUGUAAGAGGCGUUGAAGGUCGGGUCUCAUGCAAUAAGGCAGUGUGAACCUGGUCAGGGGCGGAAGCCAGCAGCCAUAAGCAUCUGUACUUAUGUGCCGUGAGGGUGCCUGGCCCGAGCCGGCUGCAGGCGUGUGCCGAGGGAAAGGGGAUCGAGGAAGAGUGCACGG
rfam:Planctomycetes bacterium RIFCSPLOWO2_02_FTLL_50_16 rifcsplowo2_02_scaffold_1144, whole genome shotgun sequence.